rnacentral:lncRNA from 1 species
UCGCGUCGAAGUCCCAGCAAAAGACUAACACCCCCAGACUUAUCCUCCUCCCAGGAAAGAAGAGACGUACUGGGGAACAACCAUUUGUUCUGGCCUUAUAAAAAGGCCAGCAAUAGGCCAGAACAAGGGGAGGCAAAUCCAGAAGAAAAAAAAACAGAAAACAGGAAGGGGAGAACAAACAGGAGAGAACAGGGGAGAAAAACCAAAAACCCAAAAACAGAGAAAAACCCAGAAAGCAAAGGAAGAAACCAGAGGAUGCCAUUACAAGAAAAACCUAGAAAAAAAGAAGAACACGAAAAGGGGGGGUAUUCCACUUUCUGCUUUCUGCCGCCACCCCCUUUCAACCUCCAAAAGCCACCAUAUAGGCUUUCGUCCGGUGUUGCAGGAGAGUACUUCGUCUCCUCUUUCCCCCCAGUCCAACAGGGACUUCUUCUCUGCUCCACAGCAACAACAUCAUCCCUGUCCCUCACGGCUGGCUCCCUUUUAUGAGAAAUACGGCAGCAAAGCUAGUUCAUGUUGACAACAGCAGGGACUUCUUCGAUCUUGCGCCAUCUACUUGUCCUGCACCGGCCGUGGAACAGCAGCAAGUUGCACCUCCAAUGAGCGAUCGACCUUCUCUAUACUGCACCAUGAGCAAACACAGAUGGAGCAGCAACUCUCUCAUUAGUCGUAGCCUUCAGCAACCAUCCACCGUCCAGAGUAGCAUCCUCCUCCGCGUCAGCAAAACCCAACCGAACCAGUAGAGAGAUGGAGGACAAAGAGACAAAGAACAAGAUAAGACGAAGAGGAAAGUAAGACACAGAGGAGAGAGCGUUCGAUCAGAUAGUGCACCAGCGCAGUCGGCUUCGUCUCCAGGUAUGUAAGUUCUUCGUUUCCUUCAUUUCUACUGUAGCCAUGAAUUAUAAUUCACUUGCUACUUUAGCAGUGGAUUAUAAUUCAUUUGGUUACAGCAGGCGUGCGUGAUCCUCGGCCGGGUCACUGGCUUAGGCCAGUGACCAGGCUGGACUGGUGGACC